rnacentral:tRNA from 1 species
GGUAUAGCUCAGAUGGUAGAGUGCUUGCCUGUCUUUCAUGCACAAGGUCCUGGGUUCAAUCCCCAGCACCA